rnacentral:lncRNA from 1 species
GUAAGCACCAAAUGGCAUAGCAUCCAAAUUUCUUUUUUCUUUUUAAUUUUAAACAUUAUUUUAUUUGGUCAUUUCCAAACAUUAUUCACUGGAAACAAAGAUCAUAUUCUUUUCCUCCCUCAUCCCCCUCCCACCACCUUUACCUCUCCCAUAGCCGACGCACGAUUCCACUGGUUAUCACAUGUGUUUGUGACUCGAACCCAUUUCCCUGUUGUUGGUAUUUGCAUUAGAGUGUUCAUUUAGAGUCUCUCCUCAGUCAUAUCCCCUCAACCCCUGUAGUCAAGCAGUUGCUUUUCAUCAGUGUUUUUACUCUCACGGUUUAUCUUCUGCUUGUGGAUAGUAUUUUUUAGAUCCCUGCAGAUUGUUCAGGGACAUUGCAUUGACACUAAUGGAGAAGUCCAUCACCUUCGAUUGUACCACAAUGUAUCAGUCUCUGUGUACAAUGUUUUCCUGGUUCUGCUCCUUUCACUCUGCAUCACUUCCUGUAGGUUGUUCCAAUCUCCAUGGAAUUCCUCCACUUUAUUAUUCCUUUUAGCACAAUAGUAUUCCAUCACCAACAUAUACCACAAUUUGUUCAGCCAUUACCCAAUUGAUGGGCAUCCCCUCGUUUUCCAAUUUUUAGCCACCACAAAGAGCGCAGCUAUGAAUAUUCUUGUACAAGUCUUUUUGUCCAUUAUCUCUUUGGGGUACAGACCCAGCAGUGCUAUGGCUGGAUCAAAGGGUAGAUAUUCUUUUAUCGCCCUUUGGGCAUAGUUCCAAAUUGCCCUCCAGAAUGGUUGGAUCAGUUCACAACUCCACCAGCAAUGAAUUAAUGUCCCUACUUUUCCACAUCCCCUCCAGCAUUCAUUACUUUCCUUUGCUAUCAUGUUAGCCAAUCUGCUAGGUGUGAGGUGAUACCUCAGAGUUGUUUUGAUUUGCAUCUCUCUGAUUAUAAGAGAUGUAGAGCACUUUUUCAUGUGCUUAUUAAUAGUUUUGAUUUCUUUGGCUGAGAACUGCCUGUUCAUGUCCCUUGCCCAUUUAUCAAUUGGAGAAUGGCUUGAUUUUUUUUAUCUGAGAACUGCCUAUCCAUGUCCCUUGCCCAUUUAUCAAUUGGAGAAUGGCUUGAUUUUUUUGUACAAUUGAUUUAGCUCUUUAUAAAUAUGAGUAAUUAAACCUUUGUCAGAGGUUUCUAUGAAGAUUUUUUCCCAAUUUGUUGUUUCCCUUCUGAUUUUAGUUACAUUGGUUUUGUUUGUACAAAAACUUUUUAGUUUGAUGUAGUCAAAAUUAUUUAUUUUACAUUUUGUGAUUCUUUCUAUGUCUUGCUUGGUUUUAAAGCCUUUCCCCUCCCAAAGGUCUGACAUGUAUACUAUUCUGUGUUUACCCAAUUUACUUAUGGUUUCCUUCUUUAUGUUUAAGUCACUCACCCAUUUUGAAUUUAUCUUGGUGUAGGGUGUGAGGUGUUGAGGUGUUGAUCUGUUCCUAGUCUCUCCCAUACUGUCUUCCAAUUUUC